AUUGUAGUUUAUUUUUAUUUUUUUUCCAUUUGCUUAGCUUUAUGUUCUCAAUUUUCUACAGUCUUCUACUUUGUAAGAGACCGAAUCCAGUCUUGUCUGUUUGCCUGUAGAGUCUGUUGGUUUUGUAUUGCAACACAGAAUGGCAAGUUGAGUUAGGACUCUGCCUGAACAGGCCUGCCCACAGACCAGCCAGUUGGUUCUAGAAUCUGAAGACGACUCAGGCAAGAGAUAGAGCUUUCCUGGUUCUCAGGAGUCAUUUAAGCCAGAUACAGAAGCAAGCAGGAGCCAGAGAAAGUCUAGAGAGCUCCUAGAUAAUCAAAAAGGCUAAAAAAAAGUUGUAUCCUGAGUUGGGUGCAGAUAGAACUGAAGUAGUUAGAUAGACCUCUGAAAUCAAAGGGUCUCUGAAUGGAAUGCUAUGUCAUGCCAUUGUUGACAUAGCGUUCCGUCUCCACACUGAUGUUUACAUGUGUAAGCCAUACAUUCUACUGCAUUCAAAGCAUUGACCUGAGAUUAUAUCAAUGACGUAGUAAGAAGGGGCACAGGGGAUAAAGGGGAAAGACUUUUCUGAUGUUAUAGCCCAACAAAAGAACUGCAAAUAAUACAAUCCUCAUGCAGCGCCUCAAAAGGACCUCAAGCAGUGACCGAAAAGUCAGGAAACAAAGGAUUCACGGGCCAGAUGCUUGAAGCUUGAGGACAAGGGUGUUGGCCAUAUAACACGGACCAAAUGCAAGUAAUCUUCUGGGUUGGUGGGCACGGAGUCACCUUUACUGGCAAAGCAGAGGGGAAGCUGCCACAGGCAUAUGUCGUUUUAUUGCACUUCACUUUAUUGCUCAUUGUGGAUACUGUAUUUUUCACAAAUUGAAGCUUUGUGGCAAUCCUGGAUCAACCAAGUCUAUUGGCGCCAUUUUUCCAACAGCAUUUUCUCACUUCAUGUCACUGUGUCACAGUUGGGUAAUUCUCACAAUAUUUCAAACUUUUCAUUACUAUUAUAUUUGUUAUGGUAAUCUGUGAUCAGUGAUCUUCGAUGCUACUCUUGUAACUGUUUUGGGGCACCAUGAACCAUGCUUAUAUGAGACGGUGAACUUAAUCGGUAAAUGUUGUGCGUGUUCUGACUGCUCCACUGACUGGCCAUUCCCCCCUCUCUCUCCUUCUCCUCUGGCUUCCUUAUUCCCUGAGACACAAC
rnacentral:lncRNA from 1 species